ACAGCUGAGGAAAGAGCCAGGCCUUACAAGUCCGUCAUCUGCAGGGAGAUGUCACACACCAGAAGGAACCAAGAACUGGGGGAUGUCAUCAUGAGCAUAGCGCACUGAGAUCUUGGCUGCUCCUGCGAGUGAGAGAGUCUGUGGUCAAGUUCCCUCAGACACUGACCAUCACACACGUGCCGGGGGUGCACCGCACAGCAUGCGCAGGCCCCAGUCACUGCUCCACAGGUGAGUGCUGCCCUGGACUCAGCCUGCGAGGCGGGUGACCAGCUCGGAGGCAGUUUUCUGUAACAGAUCUAGUUUCACAGGGUCUCCUCCCUCAAUUUGUGGAUGGUGCAGCAGGAUCCCAAAUGGUGCCCUCAGGCUAAUCAUUGUGCAGACCUAAUUAGAG